rnacentral:tRNA from 1 species
GGAUCUGUAGUGUAACGGUAACACGCCGGACCUUUAAUCCGGGCGAUAAGAGUUCGAGUCUCUUUGGGUCCACCA